CCCAGGAUGCGAGAUCCUGCCGAGUCCUGUUUCUUCCGUCUUUCAUCUGUGUUUGAUUCCAGCGUGCGUGCAGUGUGUGAGCAGUCUUUAGCAACCUUUCUUCUUUCCUUCUGAGCGUGGAUCCCGUCGAGUACGACGGAUGCGUAGGGGUGCUAAUACCUUCCCUUCGCAUAACCGACUCCCGAUCCCAUCCAUCUCUGGUC
rnacentral:lncRNA from 1 species